rnacentral:rRNA from 1 species
UACGUAGGGUGCAAGCGUUAAUCGGAAUUACUGGGCGUAAAGCGUGCGCAGGCGGCUUUGCAAGACAGAUGUGAAAUCCCCGGGCUUAACCUGGGAACUGCAUUUGUGACUGCAUGGCUGGAGUGCGGCAGAGGGGGAUGGAAUUCCGCGUGUAGCAGUGAAAUGCGUAGAUAUGCGGAGGAACACCGAUGGCGAAGGCAAUCCCCUGGGCCUGCACUGACGCUCAUGCACGAAAGCGUGGGAGCAAACAGGAUAGAUACCCUUGU